rnacentral:rRNA from 1 species
AUUGAACGCUGGCGGCAGGCCUAACACAUGCAAGUCGAGCGGAUGAAGGGAGCUUGCUCCUGGAUUCAGCGGCGGACGGGUGAGUAAUGCCUAGGAAUCUGCCUGGUAGUGGGGGAUAACGUCCGGAAACGGGCGCUAAUACCGCAUACGUCCUGAGGGAGAAAGUGGGGGAUCUUCGGACCUCACGCUAUCAGAUGAGCCUAGGUCGGAUUAGCUAGUUGGUGGGGUAAAGGCCUACCAAGGCGACGAUCCGUAACUGGUCUGAGAGGAUGAUCAGUCACACGGGAACUGAGACGCGGCCCAGCCCCCGAGGGGAGGCAGAAGGGGGGAAUUUUGAACAAGGGGGAAAAGCUUGAUCCAGCCGUGCGGGGUGUGUGAAGAAGGUCUCCGAAUGGUAAGACCUUUUAGGUGGGGAGAAAGGGAAUAAAGUUAAUACCUUCCUUUUUGAAGUUAACAAAAAAAAAAGGCCCGGGCAAGCUUGUUC